rnacentral:rRNA from 1 species
GACGAACGCUGGCGGCGCGCCUAACACAUGCAAGUCGAACGAGCGAGAGAGAGCUUGCUUUCUCAAGCGAGUGGCGAACGGGUGAGUAACGCGUGAGGAACCUGCCUCAAAGAGGGGGACAACAGUUGGAAACGACUGCUAAUACCGCAUAAGCCCACAGGUCGGCAUCGACCAGAGGGAAAAGGAGCAAUCCGCUUUGAGAUGGCCUCGCGUCCGAUUAGCUAGUUGGUGAGGUAAUGGCCCACCAAGGCGACGAUCGGUAGCCGGACUGAGAGGUUGAACGGCCACAUUGGGACUGAGACACGGCCCAGACUCCUACGGGAGGCAGCAGUGGGGAAUAUUGCACAAUGGGGGAAACCCUGAUGCAGCGACGCCGCGUGGAGGAAGAAGGUCUUCGGAUUGUAAACUCCUGUUGUUGAGGAAGAUAAUGACGGUACUCAACAAGGAAGUGACGG